GACGAACGCUGGCGGCGUGCUUAACACAUGCAAGUCGAACGAAGAGCGAUGGAAGCUUGCUUCUAUCAAUCUUAGUGGCGAACGGGUGAGUAACGCGUAAUCAACCUGCCCUUCAGAGGGGGACAACAGUUGGAAACGACUGCUAAUACCGCAUACGAUCUAAUCUCGGCAUCGAGGAUAGAUGAAAGGUGGCCUCUACAUGUAAGCUAUCACUGAAGGAGGGGAUUGCGUCUGAUUAGCUAGUUGGAGGGGUAACGGCCCACCAAGGCGAUGAUCAGUAGCCGGUCUGAGAGGAUGAACGGCCACAUUGGGACUGAGACACGGCCCAGACUCCUACGGGAGGCAGCAGUGGGGAAUCUUCCGCAAUGGACGAAAGUCUGACGGAGCAACGCCGCGUGAGUGAUGACGGCCUUCGGGUUGUAAAGCUCUGUUAAUCGGGACGAAAGGCCUUCUUGCGAAUAGUGAGAAGGAUUGACGGUACCGGAAUAGAAAGCCACGGCUAACUACGUGA
rnacentral:rRNA from 1 species